rnacentral:rRNA from 1 species
UACGUAGGGUGCGAGCGUUAAUCGGAAUUACUGGGCGUAAAGCGUGCGCAGGCGGUUGUGCAAGACAGAUGUGAAAUCCCCGGGCUUAACCUGGGAACUGCAUUUGUGACUGCACGGCUAGAGUGUGUCAGAGGGGGGUAGAAUUCCACGUGUAGCAGUGAAAUGCGUAGAGAUGUGGAGGAAUACCGAUGGCGAAGGCAGCCCCCUGGGAUAACACUGACGCUCAUGCACGAAAGCGUGGGGAGCAAACAGG